rnacentral:rRNA from 1 species
GACGGAGGAUGCAAGCGUUAUCCGGAAUGAUUGGGCGUAAAGCGUCCGCAGGUGGCAGUUCAAUUCUGCUGUCAAAGACCGGGGCUUAACUUCGGAAAGGCAGUGGAAACUGAACAGCUAGAGUAUGGUAGGGGCAGAGGGAAUUCCUGGUGUAGCGGUGAAAUGCGUAGAGAUCAGGAAGAACAUCGGUGGCGAAGGCGCUCUGCUGGACCAUAACUGACACUCAGGGACGAAAGCUAGGGGAGCGAAUGGG